CUUCGGUUUCGGUACAAGAGCUAGCCAUGCAUGCAGCAUGCAUAUGCUUCGCUUAUGUAUAUGGCGCGGCGCAAUGUGUCCACGGAAAGAAGCUAGUAGUAGUAUGGUGUAGCUGAGCUGAGCUGCUUCAUCUGCAUCCUGCGCGCGCGGCCUUUGGAUCGCGGCGCAGCGCAGCCCUGCCCCUUGUUUCUCCCCUCUCUCGGUAUGCUCGCCGUGCAUGCAUGGGCACUGGAAAGAGAAUAGCCCAUGCAUAGUGGGGAGGGAGGAAAGAGAAAUGGAUUCGGAGAGAGAUCAUCAACUGAUGCAAUGCAAGGACCACUCAGUCACGGGAGGGAGCGUAUACGGGUGAGGUACUGGAACAACUCAGGGGGAAAAGGACGGCGACCUCUCCCCUUCAUGUGCGUCCGUGCACGCUGGUCCUAUGCGCACGCCGCAACAAGGCAUCCCAUCCAUCGUCCCCUGGCGGCGUUCUGGAGUGCGCGUAUGCUAGCCCUGCGACAGCCUAACAGCCUAUUGCAGCGUCGCGCUCUGCACUGCAUGCAUCUUUAUCUCAUGAUAUAUCUCUCCUCGAUCUCUCGCUCUCAAGUUUCCUCCCCCCGUGAUUUUGCGAGUAUAAGCCAGAGAAGGAAGUGGUGAAUUAUUACUGCCUUGCAUCCACUGCCUGCCGUCUGAAACGUAAUCAUCAGGUGGAUCAGCGGAGAAAAUCUGUAAACCUUGUCUUGAUCUACUCUUCGCGUCGGGUCCAAAUCACAUGCCUCCGCCCGCUCUGUCUCCCUGCCUCAGCCUCGCCGUAGUUAAAUAGAUAAAAACAUUGUGUAAGGUGAUUAAUCCGGUCGGGACCGUAGAUUUUCCACGGGGACAUCUAAGCCACCGGGCGCCUCCCCGCCCACCGGCUUACGCAAGACAACGUAAAAACAGUGGCGCUCGCGGGGGAUUUGGCCGUAGCACCGCACGCCCGCACGUGACGCGCGCACGUACGGGCGUACCACGUUAUACA